AAGCUCGUAGUUGAAUUUCGGGGUUAGUAGGUUGGUCAUGCCUCUGGUAUGUACUGGUCUCACUGAUUCCUCCUUCCUGAUGAACCGUAAUGCCAUUAAUUUGGUGCUGCGGGGAAUUUGGACUGUUACUUUGAAAAAAUUAGAGUGUUUAAAGCAAGCUAACGCUUGAAUACAUUAGCAUGGAAUAAUGAAAUAGGACGUUCGAUCCUAUUUUGUUGGUUUCUAGGAUUGACGUAAUGAUUAAUAGGGAUAGUUGGG
rnacentral:rRNA from 1 species